GAUGAACGCUGGCGGCGUGCCUAAUACAUGCAAGUCGAGCGAACAGACGAGGAGCUUGCUCCUCUGACGUUAGCGGCGGACGGGUGAGUAACACGUGGAUAACCUACCUAUAAGACUGGGAUAACUUCGGGAAACCGGAGCUAAUACCGGAUAAUAUAUUGAACCGCAUGGUUCAAUAGUGAAAGACGGUUUUGCUGUCACUUAUAGAUGGAUCCGCGCCGCAUUAGCUAGUUGGUAAGGUAACGGCUUACCAAGGCAACGAUGCGUAGCCGACCUGAGAGGAGGAUCGGCCACACUGGAACUGAGACACGGUCCAGACUCCUACGGGAGGCAGCAGUGGGGAAUAUUGGGCAAUGGGCGAAAGCCUGAUGAAGCAACGCCGCGUGAGUGAAGAAGGUCUUAGGAUUGUAAAACCCUUUUAUUAGGAAAGAAAAAAAGUAGGAGAAAACAUGCACGUUUUGACGGUACCGAAACAAAAAGCAACGGCUAACUACGUG
rnacentral:rRNA from 1 species